UACAGAGGUCUCAAGCGUUGUUCGGAUUCAUUGGGCGUAAAGGGUGUGUAGGUGGCGCCGUAAGUCGGGUGUGAAAUUUCGGAGCUUAACUCCGAAACUGCAUUCGAUACUGCGGUGCUUGAGGACUGGAGAGGAGACUGGAAUUCAUGGUGUAGCAGUGAAAUGCGUAGAGAUCAUGAGGAACACCGAAGGCGAAGGCAGUGUCCUGGCUGGUGACUGACGCUGAGGUGCGAAAGCUAGGGGAGCGAACGGG
rnacentral:rRNA from 1 species